rnacentral:rRNA from 1 species
CCUACGGGUGGCAGCAGUGAGGAAUAUUCGUCAAUGGACGAGAGUCUGAACCAGCCAAGUAGCGUGAAGGAUGACUGCCCUAUGGUUUGUAAACUUCUUUUAUAUGGGAAAAAAACAGUGUAUGCAUACCCUCUCGUAUGUACCAUAUGAAUAAUGAUCGGCUAACUCCGUGCCAGCAGCCGCGGUGAUACGGAGGAUCCGAGCGUUAUCCGGAUUUAUUGGGUUUAAAGGAAGCGUAGGUGGUUUGUUAAGACAGUUGUGAAGGUUUGCGGCUCAACCGUAAAAUUGCAGUUGAAACUGGCAGGCAUGAGUAAAGAAGAGGUGGGUGGAAUUCGUGGUGUAGCGGUGAAAUGCUUAGAUAUCACGAAGAAAUCCGAUUGCGAAGGCAGCUCACUGGACUGCAACUGACACUGAUGCUCGAAAGUGUGGGUAUCAAACAGGAUUAGAUACCCUAGUAGUC